rnacentral:rRNA from 1 species
GGAAGAGCUCAAAUUUGAAAUCUGGUGGCCUCAGGUCAUCCGAGUUGUAAUCUAUAGAAGUGUUUUCCGUGCUGGCUCAUGUACAAGUCCCUUGGAACAGGGCGUCAUAGAGGGUGAGAAUCCCGUCCUUGACAUGAACUACCAGUGCUCUGUGAUACAUUUUCAACGAGUCGAGUUGUUUGGGAAUGCAGCUCAAAAUGGGUGGUAAAUUCCAUCUAAAGCUAAAUAUUGGCGAGAGACCGAUAGCGAACAAGUACCGUGAGGGAAAGAUGAAAAGCACUUUGGAAAGAGAGUUAAACAGUAUGUGAAAUUGUUGAAAGGGAAACGAUUGAAGUCAGUCGUGCUCUUUGGAUUCAGCCGGUUCUGCCGGUGUACUUCCUUUGAGUGGGGUCAACAUCAGUUUUGAUCGCUGGAUAAAGGCUGGAGGAACGUAGUACCCUCGGGUAAACUUAUAGCCUCCUGUCACAUACAGUGGUUGGGACUGAGGAACGCAGCACGCCUUUAUGGCCGGGAUUCGUCCACGUACGUGCUUAGGAUGUUGACAUAAUGGCUUUAAACGACCCGUCUU